CAUGCAAGUCGAACGAAGAGCCUUUGUAGCAAUACGGAGGUUUCUGAGUGGCGAACGGGUGAGUAACACGUAGGUGACCUGCCCCGAAGAGGGGGAUAACCGCUGGAAACGGCGGUUAAUACCCCAUGUGGUCAUGGGGGUUAGAGGCCUCAUGAUUAAAGCCCCGGCGCUUCGGGAGGGGCCUGCGGCCUAUCAGCUUGUUGGUAGGGUAAUGGCCUACCAAGGCAAUGACGGGUAGCUGGUCUGAGAGGACGAUCAGCCACACGGGCACUGAGACACGGGCCCGACUCCUACGGGAGGCAGCAGUGAGGGAUAUUGCGCAAUGGGCGAAAGCCUGACGCAGCAACGCCGCGUGGGGGAGGAAGGCCUUCGGGUCGUAAACCCUUUUUCUGGGGGACGAGGAAGGACGG
rnacentral:rRNA from 1 species